GAGCGUUCCCACACCCCCCACGCCGCUCGUGCCUCGCCGCUGAGCACCGCCACGCCCCCUGCACCACCCCGGCGCAUGCGCCCUCGGCCCGUAAGGCCGCACAAACCCGGGGCGCUUUCUUCCCAGGUGUGAGCUCGGCAGGGAGACCGAGGCGGGAUGACUGCGGGCUAGAGAGGCAAGAGGCGAGCUGAGGGCCGGGCCCGCGAGGGGUCCGCGGGGCCUCGGGUCCGGACAGGUAACGGACCCGGGAGUAGGGGCUCGGCCGCCGCUGCCGCAGUCUGUAGCGCUCCGGAACGAGGCCACCCCGCCGCCUUUCCUUCCUUCUCUGCGUGCCUGCUUCCCUUGUCCGGUAGGGGUGACAGGGUGAGCUUGGUUUAUUGAGCACCGGCUCCACACCGCGACCGCCCCCAGGGGGAGUUAGUUACACUAACAAGUCAACUUCUACAGUAUGGCACUGUCAGCUCAAGAGACUGUCAGAAAUAACUGCAUACUCCAGAGAUGUUCUUUGCCUGUUUCCUCACUGCUCUGGUUCAGUGGAUGAGUUCAGUUCAGUUCAUCUAUUAAGUCUCCAGCACACUCAGUGGUGGGCCCCAGAGCCUUCGACCGCUUAGUUUGGCAGCUGCAGCUAAUCUAGCUCAUCACUACACCGUUUUCUCUCAUCUCUAGGAGACAGUUAAUCUGUUACAGUCAUUCUUAGGAUUCUCACAAGAUUUGUGAUGGCUCUUGCAAUUUUCUUCUAAAAAUCUGAUAAAAGCUCUAUGAAGUAUGAA